rnacentral:rRNA from 1 species
GCGAGUGAAGCGGCAGCAGCCCAGAUUUGAAAUCCGGUUCCCCCUCUCCGGGGAGCCCGAGUUGUAAUCUGCAGAGGAUGCUUUUGGCGCGGCGCCUUCCGAGUUCCCUGGAACGGGAUGCCACAGAGGGUGAGAGCCCCGUCCGGUCGGACGCCACAGCCUCGGUAAAGCUCCUUCGACGAGUCGAGUAGUUUGGGAAUGCUGCUCAAAGUGGGAGGUAUAUGUCUUCUAAGGCUAAAUACCGGCCAGAGACCGAUAGCGCACAAGUAGAGUGAUCGAAAGAUGAAAAGCACUUUGAAAAGAGAGUUAAACAGUACGUGAAAUUGUUGAAAGGGAAGCGCUCGUGGCCAGACGCGGGGCCCGGCGGAUCAUCCGGCGCUCGUCGCCGGUGCGCUCUGCCGUGGCCCAGGCCAGCAUCGGCCCGCGGCGGGGGAUAAAGGCGGCGGGAAUGUGGCUCCCCCUCCGGGGGGAGUGUUAUAGCCCGCCGUGCAAUGCCCCGCGGGCGAGCCGAGGUACGCGCACCCGCAAGGAUGCUGGCGUAAUGGCCACCAGCGACCCGUCUUGAAACACGGACCAAGGAGUCGUCCUCGUAUGCGAGUGUUCGGGCGCCAAACCCCCACGCGUAAUGAAAGUGAACGCUGGUGAGAGCCCCUCGCGGGGCGCAUCACCGACCGAUCCUGAUGUUCUCGGAUGGAUUUGAGUAGGAGCAUACGGGGCCGGACCCGAAAGAAGGUGAACUAUGCCUGUGUAGGGUGAAGCCAGAGGAAAC